rnacentral:rRNA from 1 species
GACGAACGCUGGCGGCGUGCUUAACACAUGCAAGUCGAACGGAAAGGCCCUGCUUUUGUUGGGUGCUCGAGUGGCGCACGGGUGAGUAACACGUGAGUAACCUGCCCUUGACUUUGUGAUAACUUCAGGAAACUGGGGCUAAUACCGGAUAGGAGCUCCUGCUGCAUGGUGGGGGUUGGAAAGUUUCGGCGGUUGGGGAUGGACUCGCGGCUUAUCAGCUUGUUGGUGGGGUAGUGGCUUACCAAGCCUUUGACGGGUAGCCGGCCUGGGAGGGUGACCGGCCACAUUGGGACUGAGAUACGGCCCAGAAUCCUACGGGAGGCAGCAGUGGGGAAUAUUGCACAAUGGGCGGAAGCCUGAGGCAGCAACGCCGCGUGCGGGAUGACGGCCUUCGGGUUGUAAACCGCUUUCGCAUGUGACGAAGAGUGAGUGACGGUAAUGGGUAAAGAAGCACCGGCUAACUACGUG